rnacentral:lncRNA from 1 species
GAAGAAUCUCAUCAAUGAUACUCUCACCAGCACCUUCAAUUACCUUUCUCCUCUGUAUUUUCACCAAAGGUAUUAUGCCAACUCUCACCCUGUGAAUCCACUGACUGGGGAACAUUGUUUAAGAAAAUCACAUGGCUGUGCCAACAAGCAAGGUAGGAACGGCCAUGUGGUGACCUGUGGGCUGAAGUUAAGUGUUGUGGUUUGAUCAUUGUGUAAGGUAGAAUCAGAGCUGGGUUUUGGUUUUGUUUGCUUUAAGUUUUGGGAAUUCCUUACAGGAGACACGGCACAGAAGACAGAGGCAGAAGCAGCUUUAUUGAAAAACAGAGCAUGAGUAGAACGACUUCAAAUCCCAUAUGGCACCACAGUGAGAAGUAACUUCCUCUGAGCUUCUUAGAGAAUCCAACAAUGUCCUGCUUCCUUGGGGAGCUGCAGCCAUGGGCACAUGGGAAUAGGGCUUCCACCAAGAGUCCCGUCAGUCACAGCAACAGGAGGUCUUCCUCAGACAACUUUGAUGAUAGUGGUUGUUAGCCAGAGCAAGCUAGAACCAGAAAGAAAAACUAUGAAGAUGCCACAGUGGGAGUCUGAGCACCUUGAGGCCUCCUGUUGGAAACUGGCAAACCUAACUGUGGGACACUUGGAUGCUGAGUUCUGGUAAACAUGCUGUCGGAGGCACGGUAAUUUAGUCAUUAACAUUUAAAAACGAUCUAAUUCUAUAUACAUACUCUGUUGAAGACUUCUUCCAACCACCUUGUAUUAUAAAUUUAAAAUAUGAAAUACAAACUCUUUAUGUGUCUUGACUCAGAUUACCUAGGAAGGGACAGUGACCUAUUCAUCAAUGUUUAGAAUUAGAGUAAGUUAUAGAAUAUAGUCUGAGAAAAUUACUUGGACCAAGAAAGCAAUGUCCCUGACAUUCAUCAAUCUAGAACCAGAGCUGCAGAUUAAGCUAGGUGCAAAUUUAUCAGAAAACAAUAUUUUUCCCAAAUACAUAUUGCAGCCAUAAAAUGCCCUAAAAACCCAGUUCUUAGAGGGACUAUUGCUUACUUACUGAGAAAUUGUAUUCUCUGAAAUCAUAGACUAUGAGAUGCAUUGCUGUUUAAAAUUAUUGCAAUAAGAAUGAAACAUCUCACUCUUAUCUGGAGGAGUUAAGUCAUUGUGAUCAGUGAAGCCUUGAUUUAAGCUCCUGUGCAAAGCUUCAGAGAAUGGGUCUCAGGACACAACAUUUGACAUCUAUUUUGACUUCAUUUCCAAGAAAAUAGGACUGCUAUGGUUUGAAUGUUUGUCUCCCUCAAACCAAGGUGUCGGAGGUGGGGCCUAAUGGGAGACGUUUGGGUUAUCAGGGAGGGUCCCUCAUGAAUAGAUUAAUGCUCUCCCUGGGGGUAGGGAACAGUUAGUGAGUUCUUGCUUUAUUCAUUCUCAAGAGAGCUGGUUGUUAAAUAGAGCCUGGCGCCUCCCUCCUCCCUCCUUGCUUUCUCUCUCACCGUAUGAUCUUAGCACAUUACACCUCCCCUCACCUUCUGCCAUGAGUGGAAGCAGCCUGAGCCUCUCACCAGGAGCAGAUGCUGGUGCCAUGCUUCUUGUACAGCCCACAGAGCAGUGAGCCAAAUAAACCUCUUUUCCUUAGAGAUUGCGCAGCCUCAGAUGUUCCUCUAGAGCAACACAAAAUGGACUAAGACAAGAACCAUAGGUCCAUUUCACAGUACAGAGCUGAGGUUGACCCCUUUUAUACACAACCAUACUUUCUUAGAGCCCAUAGAAUAUCAUUUCAUUUACAUCACACCUAAAUUCCACUCUUUAGCAAAAUCUUAUGUUAACCCUAUAUUUUCCUUUGUUUGAUGAGAUACCCCACAAUUGCUCUGUUGUGCAGUCCCCACACUGCAAUGAGUCAGUAAACUCAAUUGGUUUGUUUACAGGUUGUCCCUGGUGGUUUUAGGCUGAUUGGGCUAAGACAAACCACAUCUUAUUUUUUAAAUGUCUCCUUUAAGCAAAUGUUAUUAUCUGUAUUUUACUCUAUUCCAUAAGCA